AAGCCGCCUUUCCCGAAGAAGAGCUCCACGGUCUAAUUUCCGAACAGUGGAAGGAAAUGGGCUAGCAAGCAAAAGAUCCAUCCACUGAUUUUCGGCAAUGAAGAUGUUUUGCAUAUAAUAUUUCCGAGCAUGAUAAGUAGUUUUCGAUCGAUGGAUGGUUGUUGAUGCAGGUGAACAAGUCUGUGCAGAUUUUUAGGGCUAAACAAGAGCUUGCAGACACGCAAAAGGAACUGGCGACACUAAAAAUCGCUCGAAAAAACAGUUUUCGAGCCAUAAUUUGCAGCAGAAUGAUGGGCGGUCUUCAACACAUGAGACGCAAAAGAAUGAAACCCGCGGUGGUAAUAUCGAUGCUUUCUUAUUA